CACGUAGGGUGCGAGCGUUGUCCGGAAUUAUUGGGCGUAAAGAGCUCGUAGGCGGCUCGUCACGUCGGCUGUGAAAACCCGGGGCUCAACCCCGGGCCUGCAGUCGAUACGGGCGAGCUAGAGUUCGGCAGGGGAGACUGGAAUUCCUGGUGUAGCGGUGAAAUGCGCAGAUAUCAGGAGGAACACCGGUGGCGAAGGCGGGUCUCUGGGCCGAUACUGACGCUGAGGAGCGAAAGCAUGGGGAGCGAACAGG
rnacentral:rRNA from 1 species